rnacentral:rRNA from 1 species
UGGGGAAUAUUGGACAAUGGGGGCAACCCUGAUCCAGCAAUGCCGCGUGUGUGAAGAAGGUCUUCGGAUUGUAAAGCACUUUCGACGGGGGCGAUGAUGACGGUACCCGUAGAAGAAGCCCCGGCUAACUUCGUGCCAGCAGCCGCGGUAAUACGAAGGGGGCUAGCGUUGCUCGGAAUGACUGGGCGUAAAGGGCGUGUAGGCGGUUUACACAGUCAGAUGUGAAAUCCCCGGGCUUAACCUGGGAGCUGCAUUUGAUACGUGUAGACUAGAGUGUGAGAGAGGGUUGUGGAAUUCCCAGUGUAGAGGUGAAAUUCGUAGAUAUUGGGAAGAACACCGGUGGCGAAGGCGGCAACCUGGCUCAUGACUGACGCUGAGGCGCGAAAGCGUGGGGAGCAAACAGGAUUAGAUACCCUGGUAGUCCACGCUGUAAACGAUGUGUGCUAGAUGUUGGGUAACUUUGUUAUUCAGUGUCGCAGUUAACGCGUUAAGCACACCGCC